rnacentral:rRNA from 1 species
GACCCCUACGGGAGGCAGCAGUGGGGGAUAUUGCACAAUGGGGGGAACCCUGAUGCAGCGACGCCGCGUGGGUGAAGGAGCGUUUCGGCGCGUAAAGCCCUAUCGGCAGGGAAGAAGGAGGACGGUACCUGACUAAGAAGCCCCGGCUAACUACGUGCCAGCAGCCGCGGUAAUACGGAGGGGGGAAGCGUUAUCCGGAUUUACUGGGUGUAAAGGGGGCGCAGACGGCAGCGCAAGCCAGGAGGGAAAGCCCGGGGGCC